GCCGAUAUAGCUCAGCGGUAGAGCAACUGUCUCGUAAACAGUAGGUCAUCGGUUCAAUUCCGAUUAUCGGCA
rfam:Prochlorococcus marinus MED4 complete genome.